GAUGAACGCUGGCGGCGUGCCUAAUACAUGCAAGUCGAGCGAACGGACGAGAAGCUUGCUUCUCUGAUGUUAGCGGCGGACGGGUGAGUAACACGUGGAUAACCUACCUAUAAGACUGGGAUAACUUCGGGAAACCGGAGCUAAUACCGGAUAAUAUUUUGAACCGCAUGGUUCAAAAGUGAAAGACGGUCUUGCUGUCACUUAUAGAUGGAUCCGCGCUGCAUUAGCUAGUUGGUAAGGUAACGGCUUACCAAGGCAACGAUGCAUAGCCGACCUGAGAGGGUGAUCGGCCACACUGGAACUGAGACACGGUCCAGACUCCUACGGGAGGCAGCAGUAGGGAAUCUUCCGCAAUGGGCGAAAGCCUGACGGAGCAACGCCGCGUGAGUGAUGAAGGUCUUCGGAUCGUAAAACUCUGUUAUUAGGGAAGAACAUAUGUGUAAGUAACUGUGCACAUCUUGACGGUACCUAAUCAGAAAGCCACGGCUAACUACGUGCCAGCAGCCGCGGUAAUACGUAAGUGGGCAGCGUUAUCGGGAAUAUUGGGCGUAAAGCGCGCGUAGGCGGUUUUUUAGUCUGAUGUGAAAGCCCACGGCUCAACCGUGGAGGGUCAUUGGAAACUGGAAAACUUGAGUGCAGAAGAGGAAAGUGGAAUUCCAUGUGUAGCGGUGAAAUGCGCAGAGAUAUGGAGGAACACCAGUGGCGAAGGCGACUUUCUGGUCUGUAACUGACGCUGAUGUGCGAAAGCGUGGGGAUCAAACAGGAUUAGAUACCCUGGUAGUCCACGCCGUAAACGAUGAGUGCUAAGUGUUAGGGGGUUUCCGCCCCUUAGUGCUGCAGCUAACGCAUUAAGCACUCCGCCUGGGGAGUACGACCGCAAGGUUGAAACUCAAAGGAAUUGACGGGGACCCGCACAAGCGGUGGAGCAUGUGGUUUAAUUCGAAGCAACGCGAAGAACCUUACCAAAUCUUGACAUCCUUUGACAACUCUAGAGAUAGAGCCUUCCCCUUCGGGGGACAAAGUGACAGGUGGUGCAUGGUUGUCGUCAGCUCGUGUCGUGAGAUGUUGGGUUAAGUCCCGCAACGAGCGCAACCCUUAAGCUUAGUUGCCAUCAUUAAGUUGGGCACUCUAAGUUGACUGCCGGUGACAAACUGGAGGAAGGUGGGGAUGACGUCAAAUCAUCAUGCCCCUUAUGAUUUGGGCUACACACGUGCUACAAUGGACAAUACAAAGGGCAGCGAAACCGCGAGGUCAAGCAAAUCCCAUAAAGUUGUUCUCAGUUCGGAUUGUAGUCUGCAACUCGACUACAUGAAGCUGGAAUCGCUAGUAAUCGUAGAUCAGCAUGCUACGGUGAAUACGUUCCCGGGUCU
rnacentral:rRNA from 1 species